AGGUUUCAAAUGAUCUUUCACACAAAAUAUGACGCAAAGAAAAGAUUGGUUAAUUUCUAUACUACUAAGUGAGAUCACGACAAUUUUGGCUUUAACACUAUAAGGAAGCAUGCUGCUUUAUCUUCUUCCUUUCUCUAUCAUCAAUUUCAUUCACAAUAGGCUGAAGGGAAUACAAAGCCAUCACUUUAAUUCUUUGACUCUUAACCACACUAGCACUUAAA
rnacentral:lncRNA from 1 species